CUGUGGCGGUGGAGGAGGAGGAAGAGGUAGCCAACACUGUAUGUUUAUUUUUUUUAAUUUUUUUUUAUUGUGGUAGCCCCCAAAAUAUCGGGACAUAUAAAAAAAAAAAGAAAACUCUGUUCUGCAGAGUAGCUGUUGACAUUAUAGUUGCGCAGGAACUUUGUUGACUCUAGAGAACCGUGGGCAAAUCACACAUCCCUGUGGCGGCGACUUUGCAUGCGGAUGUCAUCCAUAUCAACUGUCGAUGCCAGUUUCUGCGCCUACCAUGGUGACCAUGGGUAACGAGGAAUCAGGGUUCCAUUCUGUACAGGGACCCUAAGAAACAGUUACCACAUGCAAGGAAGGCA